GAGGGUAUAGCUCAGGGGUGUGGUGUGUGCCUAUCAUGCACGAGGUUGGGGUUCAAUCCCCAAUACCUCCA
rnacentral:tRNA from 1 species